UACGUAGGGUGCAGGCGUUAAUCGGAAUUACUGGGCGUAAAGCGUGCGCAGGCGGUUUCUUAAGUCAGAUGUGAAAGCCCCGGGCUUAACCUGGGAACUGCGUUUGAAACUGGGAGACUUGAGUGUGGCAGAGGGGGGUGGAAUUCCACGUGUAGCAGUGAAAUGUGUAGAUAUGUGGAGGAACACCGAUGGCGAAGGCAGCCCCCUGGGUUAACACUGACGCUCAUGCACGAAAGCGUAGGGAGCAAACAGG
rnacentral:rRNA from 1 species